rnacentral:misc_RNA from 1 species
UUAAGUUCAGGGGGUAUCCCUACCUGAUCUGAGGUCAAGCUGUAAAAUAAAUCGUUCAUUUGGCAGACAGCCAUCCAGUUGCUUCAACGAGAAAUUACUUACUACGUCUUACAAGCUGAAAUAGCGUCGCCAAUAGCUUAAAGGAGAGAGGCAAAAACCACUUCUCCCAAUACCAAACCAAAGUUUGAUUGAUUUACUGA